CAGGGGAUCAGGACAGCUCAGUUUAGAAGAGUGCCUUAAACACGCCCACCAGUUCCUAACCAUCACACAGCCAGGUCCUGGGGAGUGUGCUUCACCUGUGGGGUUUGGUUCAGCUUGGAGGCCUUGGCCUGCAUGGGUCAUAGCUACCACAAUGGAGGGCCUGUGACUUCCUGAUGGCCCUCCAGAUGAAGGACAGGGGGCUGGGGGUGAGGACUUUGAGUCCUGUGAGCAACGUCGCUAUGUCCAGAGCACUAACUCCCAGAUCCUCAACACCUGCUUGGCCUCAUGGCUGCCAGGAGAGCAUCUCGAGGAUGUUCAAUAAGAGCUGUGCCAUCAGCUACACCUCCUACAGGAACGUAUUCAGAGUGUGGACGCUGUGCCGCCUUCUCCAACCUUUACCUUUACCCCUCCAGCCCUCUGGCUGUGAAGGUCAAGCUGUGAGGUCAGGAGUCAGCAGAGGUGUGCUCAGUGUCAUUUCUGAAAUCUUUACAUUGAUUACAUUGAGAACAGUGGGAUGCUAAUGAAAGGUGCUGAAACAGGAGUCCUGAAAUGACAACCCUGGGAUUACUUUACCAUGCAUGCUAUUUAACAUUCUUUUGCCUUACGUUUUUGGUGGGACUGAACUCGUUGAAACAACCUUUUAGCUGAGAAAUAGUGUCAUUUUGGCUCCUGUAUUAUGACAUUAAAUCGAUACCCUUUUCAUCAGUCUGUAAAUAGUGCUGAAAUAGAAAAAUGUCCAUGUUCCCUAUUAAUAUUAACCUUUCUGAAAAUAUAUUGAUCAGUGGCAAUCAGUGCCGUUUAAGAUGCGGGAGGACUGUUUUUUUUUCAUGAGCGUGGCCAUGUUUCUAUUACAGUAUAUUGGAUGACUCUCAUUCAUAUUCCAGGCACCCAGUUCAAUGUAACAGCGAUAGGUUUAGGCUACUACACGAUACUCAAAUGUUCCCUAUUGUAACGAAGUGCGCUGAGAGUCGGGAAACAAGUUCAGGGAGUGAGUGUUUUUAAUGGAAAAAAACGCUACAUAAUCCAAAACAAACACGAACAACGCACAGACAAGGUAAUCAAGGAGGUGAUGGAGUCCAGGUUAGUGUCAUAUUGCGCUAAUGCUCGUAACGAUGGUGACAGGUGUGCGCCUUAACGAGCCGCCUGGUGACCUAGAGGCCGGAGAAGGAGCACACGUGACGGUACCCCCUCCCCGACGCGUGGCUCCAGCCGCAGGACGCCAACAAAGAUGACGAUCCCGGGGAUCAGGAGCGGACCGGUCACCUCUGCUAAGGCACAGGAGCAUGGCAACCUAGAGCGCCUGAGAGAGAGCAUACCUGACGGUACCCCCUCCCCAGCGCGUUCGGCUCCAGCCGCAGGACUCCAACCACAGAGUGUCAUAUUGCGCUAAUGCGCGUAACGAUGGUGACAGGUGUGCACCUUGACGAGCAGCCUGGUGACCUAGAGGCUGGAGAGGGUGCACACGUGACACCUAUACCCUUCACGAGGAUGCUACAACCUAGCCUUUGAAUGAAAGUUUACAUCGUAGGUGCACUCAGGUCGGAGACAAAUUUGAGGUGACAGACCGUGACAUUCAAUACGCCUUGCACACUCGCCUGCAUCUAGCUGAUAUACAGUACCACAAAA